rnacentral:rRNA from 1 species
UAAUAGCGUAUAUUAAAGUUGUUGCAGUUAAAAAGCUCGUAGUUGGAUUUCUGGUAGGAGUGACCGUUCCGAACUUGAUUGUUCGUGUAUUGUGUUUUCUCCAGCCAUCCUUGUGGAGAACUUUUCUUGCAUUAAUUUGUAGGGAUUGGGACCCGUAUCGUUUACUGUGAAAAAAUUAGAGUGUUUAAAGCAGGCAAUCGCUUGAAUACAUUAGCAUGGAAUAAUAAGAUAGGACUUUGGUACUAUUUUGUUGGUUUGCAUACCAAAUUAAUGAUCAACAGGAACAGUUUGAGGAUAUUCGUAUGAACAUGUCAGAGGUGAAAUUCUUGGAUUUUGAUCAGACGAACUACUGCGAAAGCAUUUAUCAAGGAUGUUUUCAUUAA